CAUUAAGUGCCCCGCCUGGGGAGUACGGCCGCAAGGCUAAAACUCAAAGGAAUUGACGGGGGCCCGCACAAGCGGCGGAGCAUGCGGAUUAAUUCGAUGCAACGCGAAGAACCUUACCAAGGCUUGACAUGAACCGGUAAUACCUGGAGACAGGUGCCCCGCUUGCGGUCGGUUUACAGGUGGUGCAUGGUUGUCGUCAGCUCGUGUCGUGAGAUGUUGGGUUAAGUCCCGCAACGAGCGCAACCCUCGUUCUAUGUUGCCAGCACGUGAUGGUGGGGACUCAUAGGAGACUGCCGGGGUCAACUCGGAGGAAGGUGGGGACGACGUCAAAUCAUCAUGCCCCUUAUGUCUUGGGCUUCACGCAUGCUACAAUGGCCGGUACAAAGGGUUGCGAUACUGUGAGGUGGAGCUAAUCCCAAAAAGCCGGUCUCAGUUCGGAUUGGGGUCUGCAACUCGACCCCAUGAAGUCGGAGUCGCUAGUAAUCGCAGAUCAGCAACGCUGCGGUGAAUACGUUCCCGGGCCUUGUACACACCGCCCGUCAAGUCACGAAAGUUGGUAACACCCGAAGCCGGUGGCCUAACCCCUUGCGGGAGGGAGCUGUCGAAGGUG
rnacentral:rRNA from 1 species